AUGAUAGAUUGCUUUUUUCCCCUCAGUGCAAACCAGAAAUUGAAGCAGACGGAGCAUGUCUUCCACAGUGUCAGGCAAGGGAGUUGGCUUGCGGAGAGUCAGCCCGGACAUACUGGGAGAGCAGGGAACCUGGAAGAACUCGAAUUCCCAACACCUUCACCCUCCGUGUAUAUGGUCCAGAUUUCUCCACCUGGCCACCAGUGCUGUGAUCAUCAGUUCCAUCCAGGAAAGCAACGUGGAGCCAGAGAGAGACAGGCAUCCUUAAAGUGGGCCAGGAAUGAGCUCAUUUUGGAACCAGAUGAGGGAAGUUUGCCUUCCUGGAAACAGCGGCACUUGGCGGACAGGCUGUCGGUGGAAGCGAUGACUCAGUUGUGAGUUGCAUGCUUGCCAGAAGUUUGUCUCUUUGAACUAAUUAUUGUCUACCAAAAAAUGACAGGCAUUGUAAAAUAAUGGGGGAAAAAACCCUCAAUUCAAGGACACACGUCAACUUGGGGCAAUUAACAUUCUGAAAGGUCCAUUAGUGUGGGAGGCUUGGGAAAAAUCUUUUCUUAUAAACUCCUAAUCAUAUUAGGCAUUUCAGAAACAGAGUUAAGAGGGAGGGAGUCAUAUGUUGGUUACACAGCACUUCCUGAAUAAAGUGUGUCCCCAGAGACCAGAAUCAGAACUUGGGAGAGUGUCUGGUUUUGGAAAAUAUAUGCUUUUCUCAAAUUGCUAGUGUGUGGUUUGUGGUGUGUGUGUGUGUGUGAGAGAGAGAGAGAGAGAUGAAGGGAAAAAGAAGCACUAUUUGUCUCUGUGUGUGAACAUAUGUCAAUUUCCUUCCUAAAGCACAGGAUAGAAUAAAUAAAGAGUUUUUUAAAUCUAAUGACGAUAUUAUAUUUUAGUCUAGCAUGUAUAUCUGGAAAAUAGAUUCUAAGGAUUAGAAGGCAGUCCUGAGAAUUUGGGGUAUUUGCAGGUAUGCCAUACCCCGUGUAAUCUGAAUGAUUUAUUUUUUUUCUUCCCUGGAUUCCUAUGCCCUGAUUCUGGGACUAAUCUGAUUUUCCAUGGUCAGACCACCCCCACAUCACAGUGACUAUCAAUGCCCUCCAGGGUGGGAAUCUGACCCAAGUCUAGCCAAUCACUACAUUCUAUCAAAUUGGCAGUGGUGAUUAGCUCUGUGUGGUCACGCGACCCAGCGGAGUCCCACUUGCUGUGUCCUGCCAAGGGACAAAGGCAGUGGGAAGUAAAGCAUCUCUGCACACCAUAGGCUUCCACAUGGUGAUGUCAACCUGCCCUUGGCAUUUGCCCCAGCCCAGCGCUAUGGAGCCUAGUCUGUCUCAGGCUAUCAGAUUUGGGUUAGAAGCCAGUUUCUGAUGUAGUAGGUGGUAAAGGUUCCAACACCAAUGAUGUACAGCCCUGUUUUCUC
rnacentral:lncRNA from 1 species